UUACGGUCAUAUCCCGUUUAAACACCGUACGAUUACCGAAGUUAAGCAACAUCGAGCCUGGUCUGUACCAAGAUGGGUGAUCACUUGGGAAUACCAGGUGCGGUAA